rnacentral:siRNA from 1 species
AGACUAUAAGAGUGUUGUGUCUA